rnacentral:rRNA from 1 species
AGAGUUUGAUCAUGGCUCAGAUUGAACGCUGGCGGCAGGCCUAACACAUGCAAGUCGAGCGGUAGCACAGAGAGCUUGCUCUCGGGUGACGAGCGGCGGACGGGUGAGUAAUGUCUGGGAAACUGCCUGAUGGAGGGGGAUAACUACUGGAAACGGUAGCUAAUACCGCAUAAUGUCGCAAGACCAAAGUGGGGGACCUUCGGGCCUCAUGCCAUCAGAUGUGCCCAGAUGGGAUUAGCUAGUAGGUGGGGUAACGGCUCACCUAGGCGACGAUCCCUAGCUGGUCUGAGAGGAUGACCAGCCACACUGGAACUGAGACACGGUCCAGACUCCUACGGGAGGCAGCAGUGGGGAAUAUUGCACAAUGGGCGCAAGCCUGAUGCAGCCAUGCCGCGUGUGUGAAGAAGGCCUUCGGGUUGUAAAGCACUUUCAGCGGGGAGGAAGGCGGUGAGGUUAAUAACCUCAUCGAUUGACGUUACCCGCAGAAGAAGCACCGGCUAACUCCGUGCCAGCAGCCGCGGUAAUACGGAGGGUGCAAGCGUUAAUCGGAAUUACUGGGCGUAAAGCGCACGCAGGCGGUCUGUCAAGUCGGAUGUGAAAUCCCCGGGCUCAACCUGGGAACUGCAUUCGAAACUGGCAGGCUAGAGUCUUGUAGAGGGGGGUAGAAUUCCAGGUGUAGCGGUGAAAUGCGUAGAGAUCUGGAGGAAUACCGGUGGCGAAGGCGGCCCCCUGGACAAAGACUGACGCUCAGGUGCGAAAGCGUGGGGAGCAAACAGGAUUAGAUACCCUGGUAGUCCACGCCGUAAACGAUGUCGAUUUGGAGGUUGUGCCCUUGAGGCGUGGCUUCCGGAGCUAACGCGUUAAAUCGACCGCCUGGGGAGUACGGCCGCAAGGUUAAAACUCAAAUGAAUUGACGGGGGCCCGCACAAGCGGUGGAGCAUGUGGUUUAAUUCGAUGCAACGCGAAGAACCUUACCUGGUCUUGACAUCCACAGAACUUNUUGGUGCCUUCGGGAACUGUGAGACAGGUGCUGCAUGGCUGUCGUCAGCUCGUGUUGUGAAAUGUUGGGUUAAGUCCCGCAACGAGCGCAACCCUUAUCCUUUGUUGCCAGCGGUUAGGCCGGGAACUCAAAGGAGACUGCCAGUGAUAAACUGGAGGAAGGUGGGGAUGACGUCAAGUCAUCAUGGCCCUUACGACCAGGGCUACACACGUGCUACAAUGGCAUAUACAAAGAGAAGCGACCUCGCGAGAGCAAGCGGACCUCAUAAAGUAUGUCGUAGUCCGGAUUGGAGUCUGCAACUCGACUCCAUGAAGUCGGAAUCGCUAGUAAUCGUAGAUCAGAAUGCUACGGUGAAUACGUUCCCGGGCCUUGUACACACCGCCCGUCACACCAUGGGAGUGGGUUGCAAAAGAAGUAGGUAGCUUAACCUUCGGGAGGGCGCUUACCACUUUGUGAUUCAUGACUGGGGUGAAGUCGUAACAAGGUAACCGUAGGGGAACCUGCGGUUG